AUUGAACGCUGGCGGCAUGCUUUACACAUGCAAGUCGAACGGUAACAGGCCUUCGGGUGCUGACGAGUGGCGAACGGGUGAGUAAUGCAUCGGAACGUACCCAGAGGCGGGGGAUAACGCAGCGAAAGCUGUGCUAAUACCGCAUGUGAUCUGAGGAUGAAAGCGGGGGACCGAGCAGCAAUGUUUGGCCUCGCGCCUUUGGAGCGGCCGAUGUCGGAUUAGCUAGUUGGUGGGGUAAAGGCCUACCAAGGCGACGAUCCGUAGCUGGUCUGAGAGGACGACCAGCCACACUGGGACUGAGACACGGCCCAGACUCCUACGGGAGGCAGCAGUGGGGAAUUUUGGACAAUGGGCGCAAGCCUGAUCCAGCAAUGCCGCGUGAGGGAAGAAGGCCUUCGGGUUGUAAAACGCUUUUGGCAGGAACGAAACGGUGUCCGCUAAUACCGGGCGCUAAUGACGGUACCUGCAGAAUAAGCACCGGCUAACUACGUG
rnacentral:rRNA from 1 species